GGGAGCAUAGCUCAGUUGGUUAGAGCGCUUGCUUUACACGCAAGAGGUCACAGGUUCGAGUCCUGUUGUUCCCACCA
rnacentral:tRNA from 1 species